UGCAAGUCGACGGGCUCUUCGGAGCAAGUGGCGGACGGGUGAGUAACGCGUGAGAAUGUGCCUUCAGGAUGGGGAUAACAAUAGGAAACUAAUGCUAAGACCCAAUGUGCCUUAAGAGGUGAAAAAUGAAAAUUGCCUGAAGAGGAGCUCGCGUCUGAUUAGCUAGUUGGGGUGGUAAAAGCGCACCAAGGCAACGAUCAGUAGCUGGUCUGAGAGGAUGAGCAGCCACACUGGGACUGAGACACGGCCCAGACUCCUACGGGAGGCAGCAGUGGGGAAUUUUCCGCAAUGGGCGAAAGCCUGACGGAGCAAUACCGCGUGAGGGAGGAAGGCUCUUGGGUUGUAAACCUCAAAACUUAGGGAAGAAAAAAAUGACGGUACCUAAUCUAAGCAUCGGCUAACUCCGUGCCAGCAGCCGCGGUAAUACG
rnacentral:rRNA from 1 species